AGAGUUUGAUCCUGGCUCAGGAUGAACGCUGGCGGCAUGCCUAACACAUGCAAGUCUAACUGUGAAAGCAGUGACGGACGGGUGAGUAACAUGUAAGUUAUCUACCUUUGGGUGAGGGAUAACAAAUGGAAACGUUUGCUAAUACCUCGUAAUCUCGUUUGAGUGAAAGAAUUUCGCCUGAAGAUGAGCUUGCACCCGAUUAGUUUGUUGGUGGGGUAAUGGCCUACCAAGACUAUGAUCGGUAGCUGGUAUGCGAAUGCGAACAGCCACACUGGGACUGAGACACGGAACAGACUCCUACGGGAGGCAGCAGUGGGGAAUAUUUGGCAAUGGGUGAAAGCCUGACCAAGCAAUGCCGCGUGGAGGAAGAAGGCCUUUGGGUUGUAAUCUCCUUUUCUCAAUGAAGAAGUUCUGACGGUAUUUGAGGAAUAAGCAUCGGCUAAUUCUGUGCCAGCAGCCGCGGUAAUACAGGAGAUGCAAGCGUUAUCCGGAAUUAUUGGGCGUAAAGCGUCUGUAGAUGGUUUAAAAAGUUUGAUGUUAAAUAUUAAAGCUUAACUUUGAAAUGGCAUUAAAAACUCUUAGACUUGAGUGCAAUAGGGGUAGGGGGAAUUUUCAGUGUAGCGGUGAAAUGCGUAGAGAUUGAAAAGAACACCAAUGGCGAAAGCACCCUACUAGGUUGAUACUGACAUUGAGAGACGAAAGCUAGGGGAGCAAAAAGGAUUAGAUACCCUUGUAGUCCUAGCAGUAAACGAUGGAUACUAAGUGGUGUUUAUGCACUGCUGUAGCUAACGCGUUAAGUAUCCCGCCUGGGGAGUACGCUUGCAAAAGUGAAACUCAAAGGAAUUGACGGGGGCCCGCACAAGCGGUGGAACAUGCGGUUUAAUUAGUCGGUACACUAAUAACCUUACCAGGGUUUGACAUGUUGGAAAGAUCUCGGAAAUGAGAUUGUGCCUUUUGGAAUCCAAACACAGGUGGUGCAUGGUUGUCGUCAGCUCGUGUCGUGAGAUGUCGGGUUAAGUCCUGAAACGAGCGCAACCCUCUUUUUUAGUUAAUUUUCUAGAAAUACUGCUGAUGAUAAAUCGGAGGAAGGUGAGGAUGACGUCAAAUCAUCAUGCCCCUUAUACCCUGGGCUACACGCGUGUUACAAUGGUUUCGUACAAUGAGUUGCAAGUUCGUGAGGACAAGCUAAUCUCUUAAACUUAACCUUAGUUCGGAUUGAAGGCUGCAACUCGCCUUCAUGAUAGUAGGAAUCGCUAGUAAUCGCCGGUCAGCUAUACGGCGGUGAAUUCGUUCUCGGGCCUUGUCCACACCGCCCGUCACACCAUGGAAGUUGACUUAACCUGAAGUUGUUUUCUUAACUUUAUUGAGAGAGGCUAUUAAGGUUGGGUUGGUAACUGGGGUGAAGUCGUAACAAGGUAGCUGUACUGGAAGGCGCAGCUGGAACAACU
rnacentral:rRNA from 1 species